AUUCGCAUGCAGUUUAAGAAACAAUACAGAGACAACCUGUGUGCCCUUCAGCCAGUUUCCCCCAAGAGCAGCAUCCUGGGUAACCAGAGGACAGGACCACACCAGGAAAUGAACUUGACCGGAUCUAUCGACCUUCCCAGAUCUCACCAGGGUUACCUAUGCUCAGAUUUAGGUGUUUGGCGUUGUUUGAAGGCAAACCAGAAGGUGCUGGCAUUUAGAACAGACCUGGUAAUGAGACUUUGGCCACCAGAUUCCUUAUUACUACUGCAACACAAAAUCUCUGUUCCAUCAGUUCAUCUUUCUGCAGUCUGGUCAGAAAUGAGAAAGGGCCCACUGUUCUUUGUCUGAUUAACAGCACCUUGGCCUGGACUUUCUUCUGGACUACAGUCCCUUCCUACCAUGCAAAUUAGGGCACACCAGCAACUCCAGCCACCUGAUGAGCAGGCCAGCCAAGGCCCAAAGUUCUUCUAAACACGCUAUCCCCCGGCCAUGGCGCAUGGUCCAGGGAUGGACUCAGUUUUGAAAAACAGUAGUUGCAGAAUGUUACAGUGUGGAUCUGGAAUGUUCCCCAAGGCUCAUGCUUGGUCCCCAGUGCAGCAGUGUUCAGAGGUAGAACUUUUGGGAAAGAACUGAAUCAUGAGCGCUCUCACCUUAUCAGUGGAUCAAUUCAUUAAUGGGUUAAUAUUUGGAUGCCCACUGGGGGCAUUUCCUGGAAGUGUAGCUCUUGUCUCUGGUCCUCCCCCUUUGCUUUCUUGCUUUCUCUGCUUGGUAGUUGUUACACCUUCUGCCAUGAUGUUCUGCCUCAGCUUAGGUCCUGUGCAUGGAGCCAACCGACCAUGGACUGAAACUUCUGGAACUG